AUGAUCUGAGUCGAAUCUGGUGCAAAAAUAUAAAUUCCUUACCGAAUCCGAGUCUAAUUCGAGCUCAAUUUUUUUGAGUCGAGCCGAAUCUGAACAUGAAGAUGUUCGCUGAGAUUCGACUCGUUUACACCCCUAAUUUUGACAUAUAUUUCUACUACAUGGAUGGAUAAGCUUUAAUUAAUUGGGUUCUACUUUUUUAAAAUAUCUUC
rnacentral:lncRNA from 1 species